GAACGUUAAAGACGAUCACGUUGAGAGGCCGGGGCGCUAAGCGGACCGAUGCGGUGAGCUAACCGGUACUAAUGCACCGUGAGGCUUAACCUUACAACGCCGAAG
rnacentral:rRNA from 1 species